rnacentral:piRNA from 2 species
UGCGACUUCAUGCCAAAGGAUCAGGAACCC